rnacentral:rRNA from 1 species
UACGUAGGGGGCAAGCGUUGUCCGGAUUUAUUGAGCGUAAAGAGCGUGUAGGCGGCCUGAAAGGUCAGCUGUGAAAACUCGAGGCUCAACCUCGAGACGUCGGUUGAAACCAUCUGGCUAGAGUCCGGAAGAGGAGAGUGGAAUUCCUGGUGUAGCGGUGAAAUGCGCAGAUAUCAGGAAGAACACCCGUGGCGAAAGCGGCUCUCUGGAACGGUACUGACGCUGAGGCGCGAAAGCCAGGGGAGCAAACGGG